rnacentral:rRNA from 1 species
AACGUAGGAGACAAACGUUAUCCGGAGUUACUGGGCGUAAAGGGCGUGCAGGUGGUCUGUUAAGUCUGGCGUGAAAGCUCUCGGCUAAACCGGGAGAGGUCGUUGGAUACUGGCGGACUAGAGGACGGUAGAGGCGUGUGGAAUUCCGGGUGUAGUGGUGAAAUGCGUAGAGAUCCGGAGGAACACCAGUGGCGAAGGCGACACGCUGGGCCGUACCUGACACUGAUGCGCGACAGCAUGGGGAGCAAACAGG